UUGAAGAAACAUCUUCUGCCA
ensembl:piRNA 21ur-5302 ncRNA